UUUCCUAAAGGGUGCAAUUAAGUCAAGCUAUUCAUACAGCCCCCCACUUUUGACUAUUCAUAAAUACCUUUUUUCCACAACCUUAUAUAUAGGUACACCAAAACCCCCUCAUUGCCUCAUCAAACUCAUCAACUAUAUUGUUCUAUACCCAAAAAAAUAAUAAUCAAAGAAACAAACUAAGUCAAGAAUCCAAGUGAAAAUAGUUGUUACAUUCAAGUUAAUUAGAUAUGAAAACAGAAGGUUAUUUGUUGUCACUCCAGAUGCUAAACAAGAAUAAUAAUGAAAAUAUCAACGCGCCUAAACGUGUUAGCAAUGUUGGUGGUUCUCNNNNN
rnacentral:lncRNA from 1 species